AGCCUCCGAACCAGUUUUCAGCCAUAAAAACGUGUGCUAUAUGUCAUCAGUGCCCGAAAACGGCCACACCUGCCACCGGGGACGAAAAACAUGGGGGAUGACCGAAGAAGUGAAAAUAGCCUCGGGACCCAUUUUCGGCCCCGAAAAUGUGUGCUAUAGGUCACGAGUGCCAAAAAAUGGCAACACCUACCACCGGGGUCGAAAACGUGGGGGAUGAUCGAAGACGUGAAAAUGGCCUCCGG
rnacentral:lncRNA from 1 species